rnacentral:tRNA from 1 species
UCCCUGAUGGCUCAGGUGGUAAAGAAUCUGCCUGCAAUGCGGGAGACCCAGGUUCAAUCCCUGGGUAGGGAA